AUUGAACGCUGGCGGCAGGCCUAACACAUGCAAGUCGAGCGAGCGGCGGACGGGUGAGUAAUGUAUGGGGACUGCCCGAUAGAGGGGGAUAACUACUGGAAACGGUGGCUAAUAACGCAUACUAUCGGAUUACCCAGAUGGGAUUAGCUAGUAGGUGGGGUAAAGGCUAACAAAGGCGACGAUACAUAGCUGGUCUGCGAGGAUGAUCAGCCACACUGGGACUGAGACACGGCCCAGACUCCUACGGAGGCAGUAGUGGGGAAUAUUGCACAAUGGGCGCAAGCCUGAUGCAGCCAGGCCGCGUGUAUGAAGAAGGCCUUAGGGUUGUAAAGUACUUUCAGCGGGGAGGCGUUACCCGCAGAAGAAGCACCGGCUAACUCCGUGCCAGCAGCCGCGGUAAUUC
rnacentral:rRNA from 1 species